rnacentral:rRNA from 1 species
GACGAACGCUGGCGGCGCGCCUAACACAUGCAAGUCGAACGGAGUUAUUCUGAAUAGUAAGUUUUUCGGUAUGGUAUUUUGGUAUUUAACUUAGUGGCGAACGGGUGAGUAACGCGUGAGUAACCUGCCCUGGAGGUGGGGGACAACAGUUGGAAACGACUGCUAAUACCGCAUAAGCCCACGGUGCCGCAUGGCACAGCGGGAAAAGAUUUAUUCGCUUCAGGAUGGACUCGCGUCCAAUUAGCUAGUU